UACGUAGGGUGCGAGCGUUAAUCGGAAUUACUGGGCGUAAAGCGUGCGCAGGCGGUUCGUUAAGUUCGAUGUGAAAGCCCCGGGCUCAACCUGGGAAUGGCAUUGGAUACUGGCGGACUCGAGUGUGGCAGAGGGGGGUGGAAUUCCGCGUGUAGCAGUGAAAUGCGUAGAGAUGCGGAGGAACACCGAUGGCGAAGGCAGCCCGCUGGGCUAACACUGACGCUCAGGCACGAAAGCGUGGGGAGCAAACAGG
rnacentral:rRNA from 1 species